GCCUGCGUGAUGGAAUGGUAGACAUAACAGACUUAAAAUCUGUGGGGCAUUGCCCUUGCCGGUUCAAGUCCGGCCGUAGGUACCA
rnacentral:tRNA from 1 species